rnacentral:rRNA from 1 species
UACGUAGGGCGCAAGCGUUGUCCGGAAUCACUGGGCGUAAAGGGUGCGUAGACGGUAUGUUAAGUUCGUUGUUAAAGGCUCCGGCCUAACCGGAGUACCGCAAUGAAAACUGGCGUGCUAGAGGGUGAGAGAGAGAAGUGGAAUUCCCGGAGUAGCGGUAAAAUGCGUGGAUCUCGGGAGGAACACCAAUGGCGAAGGCAGCUUCUUGGCUCAUUCCUGACGUUGAGGCACGAAAGCGUGGGGAGCAAACAGG